rnacentral:rRNA from 1 species
UACGUAGGGGGCUAGCGUUGUCCGGAUUUAUUGGGCGUAAAGAGCGUGUAGGCGGCCAGGUAGGUCUGCUGUGAAAACUCGAGGCUCAACCUCGAGACGUCGGCGGAAACCAUCUGGCUAGAGUCCGGAAGAGGAGAGUGGAAUUCCUGGUGUAGCGGUGAAAUGCGCAGAUAUCGAGAGGAACACCUGCGGCGAAGGCGGGUUGCUGGGCUGACACUGACGCUGAAGCGCGAAAGCUAGGGGAGCGAACGGG